UGAGGUCAGGAGGGAGGCCGGGCCCUCCAGGCCCUGCUAGUGUGACGUCACCACCAUGGCAGGAGGCAGCCCCAUGGAAAGGCACCAUAGCCCAGGUGCCUGACUCUGGCGGCGGUCCCUUGCAAGUUUAUUCUCAGACCCUCCCAACCUUCCCUCUCCAUCGAGUGUGAAACAAGAGGAACUAAACGACUUGAUGGUCUGAUUCAGCCCAGACUCAGGCUUGUGUCCCUACAAGGAAAAUGAAGUUAAAUCUUCAGACAAUUUUUCUGAAAGUCAAGACCUGCCAACAUUCCCCCCUCACUGAAGACAAAAAAAAUAUGUUUGGGGAUUUUCUGAGUUGACUUUCUACGCUGAUGUUAAAAUUGUCCACACUUGCUACAAAGAACCUGCAUUUUGCUUUUGCUUCAUUAUCUCCAAUCAGAAACCAUGUCAUAUC